GACCGGAUACAUGGUUGAGUAUGGUUGUAAUCAAACUGCAUAUUCACUUGUGCUUUUAAAACAGGAAAACAUGUUAAUUCUUUUCUCGAGUUACUCUACAAAAUAGUCAUCUUGAUGUGUGUAUUGAUAUCUCCGGUUCUACAUUAGAGGAUUAAAUGUAUGUCUGUUACACAACGACUACUGCUUCACAACCCCCUCUUUUUAUUCACUCUACUGCUUUAGGUGUGUGUUAUUGCAUCAAUUGGUUACAUCCUGUGGUCUUGGUGUCAUAUUUAUAUUGGUUUUAUAUGGUAUUUUUUAUAUAAUAUACUGGGUAAGCAUGCAUUUUCCUCAUGCGGAGCAUACUUGCAUAGAUGUGGUUUUGUAGAAUUCAUUUUGUUUUCACUGAGAAAACCACAUACUGCUGGAGAAGUAUUUAUUUAUCCUCUUACUUUACAUGUUCUUUUAUUGUCGUGUAAACUGCUAGCCGAGCUACACUGCGGACUACAGAGUUGAUCUGAAUGUCUGCUAUUCUAAGGUUCAAUAUAUGAUUCUUUCUGUCAGCGUUCUUCCUUGGAAACAAAAUGAUCAAAUCAUCUUCUUGGGUAUUUA
rnacentral:rRNA from 1 species